CUGGAUGUCAUAUAUAAGGAUUUUUUUUUUGUUGGUGGUGGUUAUGGGGAGAGUGCCUAAGCAUUUUCAAUGUUGGAUACAUAAAGUCACUUUUAUAUUUCAGGUUAAGACAGGAACCACUCCGACAAGCUUUGUCAAUGAUUUGCUAUAGGUCAACAAUUUCUUCUAUAUUCAUCUAAUGCAAAAUUGUUAGCACUACUAUGCAUCCAUGCAUCCCAUGAGGAUGUGACAUACAGCCGCUGCUUACAGUGUUGGCACCAGUGGCAGAUAUUUUGAUAUCUGAGGCAAGUUUAUUGAAUUUAUAAGGGAACGUGGCCUUCAUGACAGUACUAGUGUAGCCCCAGAGUACCAGCUCAGCAUACUGCAUCAUUGUCACCCCUCGCCUUGGAACCAGGGCAUAAACACUUGGUGCCACGGUGCAAAUAGAGCCUGUCUCCUACCAGCCCUUCUGAGCAACAUAAACUCUUUGGUUGGUGCAAUAUCCUCCUGCAGACUAAGUCUCUGCUGCAUUUUUAAGGGCUGUGAACGAGCACCUUUGAUACUGCCACCAGAGGAUAAUGCAACAGUUCCUGGAUUUGUUGAUAUUGGCCAACCAGACUCAUUUGUGGUGAUAAGUUUUGUGGACUAG
rnacentral:lncRNA from 1 species